AAAGAGUUUUUUGUUAAUGUGGGUUACGGUGUUAAUUGUACCUUUUGCAUCAUGAUUUGUCGAGUAUAUUAAAAUAUUUUGGUUGUCCGAAGAGAAACGAUUUUUUUUGAGCUUGUUAUGCGAACUAAGCGAAUGGCGGGUUGUUGUGUGUUAGAGCUUAAGAAGGUAGUGAGAAGUUAUUCGUGUUUCUUUAUAACUGAUUUAAUACAAUAUUUUCAAUUUAAAUUACUUGUUAUAAAAUGAGUGGUUAAAUAAGAGAAAAUCUCAAGGUAAUAAAAAUUUUAGGGCUAAAAGUUUCCUCUAAUAAAAAGUUUGUUACAAAAAGAAAAAAUGAAGUAAUUUCUUUAAAAAAAGUGUAUUAUAAUAAUUUUUUUAGAAUAAUAAUAAAAUUAGUAAAUUGAAAAGAGUCUCUUUCUUUCUCGAUGUGUGUCAGUCUGUUUAUUAAAAACAUUGUCAUUAAAAAGAGUUAAUGGUAUUUACCUGCCCAGUGUGAUAAUAAAUGGCCGCAGUAUUUUGACUGUGCGAAGGUAGCAUAAUUAGUUGCCUCAUAAUUGGAGGAUUGUUUGAAUGGUAUAACUAGAUGCAGUGGUAAGAUGGAGAAUAGGGUUGAAUUUGGUAUAAAGGUGCAGAAUCCUUUAUAAUAAAAUAAGACGGAAAGACCCCGAGAUCUUUAUACGUGCGUGUUUAUGUGGGGCAUAGGUAAAUAAUUUAUUUAUUUUUUGAUCCUGUAAGUAAGGGAAAAAGGUUAAAGUUACCUCGGGGAUAACUGUGUAAGAAAUAAAAAGAGAUCUUAUCGAUUUAUUUGUUUGCCACCUCGAUGUUGACUUGGAGAGUUGUGUAGGCGUAGAAGUUUAUGUAUAAUGGUCUGUUCGACCUUUAAUUCUCCUCAUGAGUUGAGUUAAGACCGGUGUGAGCCAGGUCGGUUCUUAUCUAUUUUUCGGUGUGGAUAGUACGAAAGGAAUUUCAUUCCUUUAAGUU
rnacentral:rRNA from 1 species